rnacentral:lncRNA from 1 species
CCUACAUCACACCAGACCGCACCUCACGAUAUCUGAAUAAAUUUUAAUCAACAUCCCUGAAGAUUACACAACGUGUGACGCUGUAGGCUUGUUCUUUGAUCAUUACGCCGUUAAAAGUUCUGCCAGCCCUAUUUAUCCAUGGGAAUUACGAUGUUUUAAACUUCUCUUCUGUUGGACCUUUCUCAGAUCUCCUGGGGCCUCGCUGCUAUGACAUCAACGGCGGAUUAUCAACGAAUUCCUAACACUUCGUUCUUCUCAACUUAGAAAGUGACUUUUCGCUUUUACCCUCCCGACCAAUCACCAUAAAAGGUUGAGGCGGCGCUGGCUUCUGUACCAAAUGCGAGCGUAAAGCCAUCUAUAAUAUAUUUUCCAGAAGAACAUUCUCAAUGCACCUCAGCAUAAUCAGUUCGGGCGUGGACUUUGAGUCCACUUUGAUUGUUUUUGAAAAGGCUGUGAUUCAAGCCUGGCACAUGGAGCAAAGCUUUCUCUAGGACUUCUUCCACGGUCCCGGUCAUCUGAUUCCAAACCAAACCGGCAUCCAUAUGUGAAGGCAACAGUUACACAACAGCCAGCUCAUCCUUGUAUUACGGACCCUUUAGAGUUGUCUACCUGCCAAGGAAGACGUUAAAUGACAGUCCCGUAGUAAAGUAAGAGCAAAACUAUCUUCUCUACCCGUCGUACAUCGCGGUCGACCACUACCUUCUCUUCAAUCGGGACUUCCAGUGGACCUGAACUUGGUUUAUGAAACUGACUCUACGUCCGUCGUUGGCCUUGCAUCUGCCCGGGCGAGAUCUUGUCGACGUAAAACCAUGUUUUAACAAAAAUUAUUUUUAUUUUUAAUCUAAUGAUUGUAAUUGGAUUAGUAAUACUAUAAAAU